rnacentral:rRNA from 14 species
GCCUAAGAUGUAACCACCCUGAGAACACCCUAUCUAGUCUGAUUCGUGGAAGCCAAGCAGUGUCAAGUACUUGGAUAGGAGACUGCCUGGGAAUCCUGGGUACUGCAGGCU